AGAAACCAUUGAAGGAAUAAGAAAUGUGGACUGAAUCUGACGAUGAAAGCUACGAGAGAAAGCUACCAGAGAAUCCGAAGAUGUUGGGCUGAAUUUCGUGGGGAGUUUGACGACAGAAAGUGAAUAAUGAGAGAGACGUUCCAUUCUCUUCAGAAUAUUGGGAAUAAAUGUUUUGGUGGAAUGUUGAUGGUGUAUUGAAUGCACAUUGAAUGAAGGGCUGAGAAAAUCGUAGAAGGAAGAAGAAAUGUAGCAGUCUGAAGACUUUUUUAAAAUUAGGGGUAAUUUUGAUAUUUCGCAUAGGGAAAAGGUUAGUGGUAGAAAAGUUUUUAGGAAAAGGUCAUUGGUAGAAAAAUUUUUGGGUUUUGGGUCAUUUUAUGAAAUUUUCCCCCUCCCUCAGCAUUCCUUCUUAGUUCACGCCCUAGUCGCGCCACCAACGUCCAUCGCCAUUGAUUGGAGUUCGUCACCCAGCUGUCAGCUUCUUCAGUCGUUCUUCGCCAGACCCCGCCUCUCGUUCGCGUGUCAGCCAACCGUCUGAUCACUCGAGCCACUGCCCACAUCCUCCCGGAUCUGAGCCCUAAUGCGUGAGUCGCUCCCCCUUUUCUUCACCAAUCGUGACCGACUGUGUCAAGCCGCUGCACGUCACCACCACUCCUCCAGACUCAGCUGCUACUGCUCGUCCCGUCCGUCGUUAACUCUGUGCAGUCACAAUCUUCAAUAGCCGUCGUCAUUUAGAUCUCUGCUGCCGUCAUUUCUGUUGUCUCGCCAGAAUUUUGGAUUAAAGAUUUGGAAGAUUUUGGAACCUUGCCUAUUAAGGAAGAGACCAAUUUUCAACCGAAAAUUGUUAAAGUUUGGUUGAUUCAAGACUUUCAAAGGUUUAAGAAGAUUAAUUUCGUCGAAUAAUCCAAAUUCGAGGUAUGUAAUCUUACUACUGGAACCACCUUUGUGCCAGAAGAUAAAAAUUUAAGAAUAAUUUGAGGAUUCUAAGACUAUUAGCAUCGAGAUGCAGAAGAUAAAUAAGCUUAUUUUAUAUGUGUUUGAAGCAUGUUAUGAGUACGAGUAUGGAUUAAAUUCUUAUAUGUUUUGCUAAGAGGUUGUAUAUGUAUGAAUUAAUUGCAUGUUUGUGGGACUAUAUUGAUGAUGCAUGUUAUGUUUGAUAAUCAUAGUUACCUCCUACCUAUAGCUAUGUAACCUUAAAUUCAAUUAUGUGCGCCUUCAAGUCCACCAGUUUAUGUGUGCCUUCGGGUCCACCAGAUUAUGUGCACCUUCAGGUCCACCAGUUAUGUGUUUCCUUCGAGAACCACCAAAGGUGGUGAUCUCCUUCGGGAAUUCAUCAAAAGUUUGUGUUUCUUUCGGAAUUCACCAAAGGUUAGUGAACUCCUUUAGAAUUUCACUAGAGGUUGUGAUUUUCUUUGGGAAUUCACUAGAGGUUUGUGAUCUCCUAGGGGAUUUCACCAGAGGUUUAAGGGUACAUCUAACCUACGGUUGGGCGAGUUCAAUUAUCCAUUAGAUUGUCGUCCAUGGAAAGUAGAGUUUAUGCAUGUCCCACUAGAGAAUGGUAUCUAGAGGACAUAGAUGCUUAGCCUAAUCCCAGUAGUGGGGUUACUUACUGAGUAUUUUAUACUUAUUCUUUCUCACGCUUAUUUUUUUCAAGUAAGGGUAAAAACAUGCUAGCGAAUGACAAGCAAAAUCUGUGAUCGAGCCAUUGAGACCAGUCAUAUGCUUUCAUUCAUGUUUUCAGGAUUUUGUGCUUUAAAAUUUCUAGUUUUGAUGUUUGAACUGGAAGUUUUGGUAUUUGUGCUUUUAAACUUUUUAUGAGAAUUUUGUAGUUUUGUUUUAUGGU